rnacentral:tmRNA from 1 species
GGGGAUGAACAGGUUUCGACAAGGCAAAAAAAAAUUUUUGUGCAAGGCAGAGGGAAGCGAUGGACUCUGUAAAAACGCUUAAAAAAAAAUAAACGCCAAUACUGACGUUGAACAAGCUUACGCACUAGCUGCUUAAGCAGGGGUCGCUAGCAACCUUUUUACCAAACGCUAGCAAAACGCAGUUUCUUCUUUCUGAGGCAAAAAAGAAGCUCUGGUAGCGGAGGCAAAAAGCAGUUUUGUUGAUUUUCUGCGUAAAAAAAUUAACUAACCUUGUGAAUGACAAAAUAUUGGACGUGUUUUGGACCCCGGUUCGAUUCCGGGCAUCUCCACUU